UCUGUUUUGUGCAUGGGCACUUCCUAGUCACGCGAAGUGCUCACUUCUCACGGUCUCGCUCGCUCUCAACCUUAUCCACUCACAGGACCAUAGCUCUCCUUUCCUUUCUCUCUCUUCUGCUGUGUCUCUCUCACCCCAGCACGCCUUCUUCCUCCCCGCCGCCGCACCCCCUUCCACGACCUCCCCCACCGCCGUAGGUGCGCCUCCACCCCCGGCCUACCCCACCGCCUGCGCUCCCCACCCCUGCUUCGCCGCUGGCUCGCCCCACCCCCGUACCCACCUCCGGUCAGGGAAGCUGGUGGGAAGGGAGGGAACUGGCCAGGUAGGGGUGAUUGAGGUCCAGGCCGCCGCCAACGAGCGGCGCGCCGGGGAUGGUGGGGUGCGGGGCGCAAAGAAGUUGGGGCGGUGCCGCGGAGCUGCGGAUUCAAAAGCGCCAACGUCGGCGACGGGUCCAGCACCGCCUGCUGCUAGGACGCGGCCAUGGUGGGGGCCAGCGCGAGGAGGCGGCCUGGCAUUACUGCAUCUCCAGGCGGUUGUGGCCCUUGCCGCCGUGAAGCCCACCCCUGCUUCCUCCGCCACCUCCUCUAUCGCCCUAUCCACAUGAGCAGCAACUUCCAAUGGUGGCGGGGAGGCUGGAAACAGGAGAGGAAGAAGAAGGCUGCAAGUCCUCGAGGAGGAGGUGGAGGACUCCAACCCAAUAUUGUUGGAUGUAACCGUCGAUGGAUAUAACAUUGACGACACGGUACUAAUCCCAGGCAUUUGGAUGUUGUAACUAAGCCCCAUAUUGCAGAUUUCUGGCCAUGGAGCAGCGUCACUGUGUGUGGCAUGGUGGAAGUCAGGGUCACUAUGUGCAGCCUCUCCACUGAUACACACCUAAGUACCAUUGCCGAUGCUGCUUCCACAUAUGUAAGUUUUUUAUAUACCUUUCAAAUCACUUCUGUUAAUUCUAUGGAAAGAUAAUCACUCAAUGGUAGUACCUGUGUUUUUUUGUUUCGUAUACAAUGGGCUUAUUUCCCAUGCGUGCAAGCUCCCUGCUCCUUGGUUCCAAAUCCGGGCGACGGUUGUUGCUUGGUUGACGCUGCAGGCGUGUGGAGGAGCUUGCCGGCAAGGGUCUUCGGCAGCAGGUAGACUGCAUGUACUAAGAGUAGAUUUUUUUUAUGUGCGCUACAUUUAGGGUGAGAUUCCCGGUGAAGAUCUCUACCUCUUCUUUCUGCUAUUCAUCCCAUAGCUCGGUGGCCCAUACCCUUUGCAAUUUGUUCAUACCAUGGCUUCAAUCGGCAUCACGGUUUUCGUAGGUCUCAGGUUUCAACCCAGGUGGUUGCACUGGACGGGUAGUAGUCUAGUAGAGCUAUGCAGAGUUUUGUAUUUUGUAUGGACAAAGGAGGCCCAUGGAAUUUAGUUCUACAUGGUCACGACAUUGGUCUAUAUCAGGUAGUUCAUUACAUGAUCGUUUAGCUCAGCAAUCUGUGUUUUUAUGCUGACUGUGCAUAUGUGAAUUAAAAAUCCAGCUAUAGUAACUUUUGGAGGUGUACAUGUUCGUCUUUGUGAUUGAAGUAAAUUUUGUUGCUGUUAAGAUUUUUUUUUGUAGUUGUAACCGUGGCAUAUAAACCCUGAAAAGUGGGAACAUGCCGUGUGGAUGUGUGUGCCGAAAGGCCGUGCGGAUGUGUGUGGCCAAACGUGUGAACGGGGGCGGAUGUGUGUGAACGGCCAGCAACCCGGCCACGUGGAUACGUAUCACGUAUGACUGUUUUUGGAAAUCAGAAGCAACGUCGGGAAUUCCUUUUGUGGGUUGUCGGAGAGCACUAGGGAGUGAGCGCGCACUCCCUAGACGCGUCUUCAAGUUUUGCUAGAAAAUGAAACAAUUUUUUUUGCCUAUUUCUAUGCACAAUUUUUCCUUUUUGCGUACGCAAUACGAACAUGAGUAUGUCACAUCUUUAAAUUUUCUCCGCAUAACAACUGAAUCAUAACCUCCAUACCAGUCACACAAGUAAAUCACUUCAUUAUUAGCGACACUAGACCAGUGUCAGUCUCAUCUCCCUUUCCUAACGGCAUUAACAAAAUCAGAAUGACGCACACAUUAAUUGUGACAAGAUAACUAUGACUCACCCUCCGCCCCCUGUCUAUUUUAGGCGCAAGUUGGCGCCCAACUUGUCACUUGUACCCAUCUGUCCACUCCAUCUCAAUCAACUUUUCCCUUGCCUUUUGCUGCUUGCAGAGGAAUAUAAAAACGUACCUUGGGAAGUAACCAAGGUGAGGUAACACGUGACGGAAUUUUGCACCUUCGUAAGCACGAGACAAGCGGGGUGGCGGAGUCGAUGCUUCUUCUGCCUCCCAUUUAUUAGCAAGUGGAUGCUUCCUCUGCCUCCCAUUUAGCAUUGCCAGAAUUCCAUCCCAAGUGGCUGAAGCAUCUUCCCUAAAAAAAAGUGGCUGAAGCACCUGGUGCGGCCGGGGUCGCCCUCGCGCGUAAAGGCUCGUGAAACCAACUGAUCGUUCCAUCCUUUCAGUUUGGAAAAGACAAGGGAAGAAUAGAGGUUUGGUCCGUGAAGGAAUCCGUAUGCGAUCGAACAAGCAGGAUUGGUGCUUCUCUGGAUAUUCAGUUGGCCAAACAUAUUCGUUCUCUGCGAUCUUUCCAUUACCGGAUGGCGGAUGGGCGGUCACAUUCGAUUUGAAGGUCUUGCAUGAUCAUAAGCAAAUGCCAGACGUACACUAAUUAUCAACAAGAUCAUUGGUUGAAGAAAAAGAAGUUGAGGAAUGCACAUCCAACCUAAACUGUCGCUACACAGCGAACCAAGUUGUACAAACAGCCGACCCCAACAGUUGUCCCUAAAUGCGACAGCGCGAUGCCAAAAUUUGGUAGAACCUGCUGCCCUGCCUUUGCCCUUUUUUUACGUGUACAAAAGAAUUUGCCAAA